UUUGAAGUUCAUUGACUAAACCAAAGAAGAAACGUUAUCAACAAACAAAGUUUAGUAAGGAUAUUAUACUUUUAUGAAGUUCUCUCGGAACUUUAUGUAGUCAAAAUUAUCAGUAUCUCCUAACAUAUUCAAUAGUACUCUCGGCGCAUUCAACAUGGCUGGGCGAAGUGAUGAUCAGAGAGAUUAUGGGCGAAGAAAACCUCUACCGACGGAACCACCUUAUAAGGCAUAUGUUGGUAAUUUGCCUCAAGGAACCGUUCAAGGAGAUGUCAACCACAUAUUUGGUGAAUUAGACGUAAAAUCAGUACAGUUAAUUAAGGACAGAGAUACUGAUGAAUUCAAAGGAUUUGGCUAUGUCGAGUUUGGGGAUCUCGAAAGCUUGAGACGUGCGUUAGAUCUAGACGGCAGAGUACGUGUAAACGAUUGUAUGCUCAGGAUUGAUGUAGCGGAAGCUAAAAGGAGUGAACGAGGUGGAGGAUUUGACAGAGGAAGAGGAGGCGGUGGUGGCGGCGGUCGAGGUGGCUUUCGAGGAGGGAGGCCAAGUGAUCGUGACAGAUUCAAUGACUUUGGAGGUGGUGGCGGCGGUGGCGGAGGCAGAGACUGGAACAGGGGUCCACCUGGUGGCAGAAGUGGACCACCACCACCCCCUCCAAGCGGAAGUUUCGGUGGUAGACCACGGCAAGAGGAGAGAAGAGGACCACCACCUGUGGAAGAGAUACGACCCCCCAAUCCAGAAGACGCUGCUCGUCGACCAAAGUUAAUGCUGAAGCCAAGAACUGUAAAAGAUCCGCCCAAUCAAUUAGCAGAGACUAGUCAGGCAUCAAAAAUAUUUGGUGGUGCGAAACCACGAGAAGAAAAAAUUCUUAAGUAAUAAAAGUUAAUGUAAAUUAAGUCAAAUGCAUCUCUAAAUGUAAAUGGCUGAGCUGUAUGCAGCAGGUUAAAACUGUGUGCUGGACUGCGAACCGGGACUCAAACCUGGGACCUUUGCCUUUUGCAGUUUUGAAUAAAUUGAAUGCUCCUUGCAUCCAGCAAAAAGGACAUUUUUUUCUCUGAAAUACAAGGCGAGCCUCAUUGAUAAUGAAAAAGUGAAGUACAAGGGCCUCUUUCAGAGAUGCAAAGCAUAAAAACAAAAAAAUGAUGCCAGUUUGCAACCCUGGACAAUAGUGAAGAAAUUUGUGAAAGAUGUUAAAUCAUCAGUUAACUUGUUCAUUGAGUACCAUACAUUGUUGCAGUUUAUAUUGCAUUGCAGAAGAAAGUGCAUGAUCAGCUUUCACAGCAGUGAACUUACAGGAUAGUUGUUAACAUUGGGUGACAUUUUAAUUACUCGUGUUCUUCAUAUUAUUGUACCGCAACUGUUUGGUAUGUUUUUGUAAGUGAAAAUAAUGUUUCUGGUAACAGCGAGAAGACUUUAUGGAAAUGUCCAUGCUGACUGUGUAAAGAACUGUGCAUAAUUUUGUGUAAAUAGUACAGUUUAUUUUAAAAAUGUAAUAUUCUUUUGAAAAUAUUUACGUGUUUGCACGUUGAGUGUGAAUGUGGAACUAACUUAAGUCCAGGAUUCAGAACAUGAAAUGGGUUACUUUUGCUUCAGUAGAAUAGGGAUGCAUAAUGGGUGUUUUACAAUAAAAGAAAAUUAUAUUUAAAAUAUUAAA